rnacentral:rRNA from 1 species
AUUGAACGCUGGCGGCAGGCCUAACACAUGCAAGUCGAACGAGUGGCGGACGGGUGAGUAAUGUCUGGGAAACUGCCUGAUGGAGGGGGAUAACUACUGGAAACGGUAGCUAAUACCGCAUACCCUCAGAUGUGCCCAGAUGGGAUUAGCGUGUGGGUGGGGGAAUGGCUAACCUAGGCGACGAUCCCUAGCUGGUCUGAGAGGAUGACCAGCCACACUGGAACUGAGACACGGUCCAGACUCCUCCGGGAGGCGGCAGUGGGGAAUAUUGCACAAUGGGCGCAAGCCUGCUACGGCCAUGCCGCGUGUGUGAAGCAGGCUUUCGGGUUUUAAAGCACUUUCAGCGAGGAGGCGUUACUCGCAGAAGAAGCACCGGCUAACUCCGUGCCAGCAGCCGCGGUAAUAC